UACACAAUGUGGCUACUGCUGAAC
rnacentral:piRNA from 1 species